GUGGAAAGCUUUGCAGGUGCAGGGCCAUGCGGCCGGGGAGACUGGGGAGCAGCCCUCCUGCCGCUGACGGGUCAGGCCGGCUCCGUGAGUGAUUAAUUCCCAGGUCACAUUUCUGUCCACAGCUGGGAGACGAUGAUUAAAACUUGAGUGUGUUUAUUCCUUUGCAUUGGAACUUGAAAACAUCAAUUUUUAUUUCUUGGAUAAGUAAUCAGAAAAGUAAAACAAGAUGAAAGAAAGGAGAGUUUGUGCUACGGACACAGUCAAAGACGUAGAAAGGCACAGUCCUGGAAGGAGUGUGGGAGCAGCUUGAGAGCAGAUGGACGGAAAGAGCCACAGUGGAGGCAGCCCAGAGACACCUGGAGAUUAGGGGCACGUGGCCCAGGCCACAUUUCAAACCACAGGCAAGAGAAUGGCUGAUUUGAUCCCUGGAAUAGAGACCAUUUUGGAAAGUUAAUUUGGAAGCCUGUAAGAUGCAAAUUCCAAGCAGAUUAAAGUUUGUAGUGAUGGGGUUUUCUGUAGACAGACUUUUUCUAGAUGUCCAAAGAGCUGAUCGGGCACGGGGCUCCUGAUCCGCCUGCCGGGCUCCACGGGAAGAGCCUCAAGGUUCCAUUCGGUGCUGAGGCCGAGCCACACUUGCCUCUGGAGGGGCUCAUCGCCGGCUGCAUCUGCAGGCUGCUCUUGCAACGCCCUCACUGCAAAAUGCAAAGAAGAUCCACUCCAUGUCCUGUCCAGCUGCCUCCGUGUCUAGAAAGGGGCCUGUCCACUUCAUGUCUGAGUGACAGGGGCCUGCCCCUGACAACACAGCGGCCCGCAUGCCACUGAGGAAAAGCUUCAGCGAGAACAGAGACACGUACAGGGUGCUGCCCAGAGGGGAACUCGGCUCCUGCAGGAAGGGCUGGUGGGACGGCUGCCGGGGCGUUUUGGAACAUAAGCCACUCUGCGUGCGUCCCACACAAGCAAUUUCUGCUGCAGCAAAGCACAGCCCUUCUCUAAGCAGGGCAACGCCGGCCACCCUCCUCCCUGCCACUCAGGCCCCGGCUCUCAGCCCAGCCACACACGCUGCAAACCCGUGGAUGACAUUUCCCCUUGCUUCAAACCUCCAUCCCACUUUCUGGUUUUAUUUUAUUUUAUGCAUUUUAUUCUAUGUGAUCUAUUUGCAAUCUGUUCUGGAACUAGGCCAGAUUUUAAUCAAUUAACAAAUCGGCUGCUUUAGAGUCUGGCAACCCCAACUUACCAGAGUCAUUUCCAGGUGGAUAAAGCCCCCAGGUACAGGGAUUUGGGGAGAGAUUUUGCAACGUUCUGUAGAAGUAAUGUUUUUUACACUAACUUGUUAAUUACAGAAGAUCAGCACAGAAUCUGAAACAGAUCAAUAGGAAUCAGAGAACGCCCACGCUGCAGCUGCUGCCCCCAGCCCACGCCACUGCCGUGGGGCAGAGCCGCUGUCCGAGCGUUCAGUCUAACCGAUCUCGCUUCCUCCAGAGCUCUCCACCCACCUCCAGAAUCUGCACCGAGAGCAGCCUGUGUUUAAGGACUCUGAUGGACAGACGGCGGAGUGGACGUCCCACCCUCACGAGGGAGGCCGCCGGACACAUCACCGGGCCACUGCGCCCAGCUGGCCCUGCAGAGGCGCUGCAGGAACUCAGGCACGCUUGAUUUGAGAGCAGCAAGCACAGAGACGCCCGUUUGUCACAUCCAAAUAAGCAGGUGUCAGUCUUCCUGCCCGACUCCCAAAUCAGGGCCAGAGCCUGCUCUCUUCAGCUUGAAGUGAGUCAGCCCGGGGCUAGCGAGCAAGCUGGGGUUCAAGUCAGGUAACACUGGCCUGGCCCGCCGAGGAGGAAGGGCUCACGCUUCAGGAGCAGAGGGGCCCGACCAGUCACUCCCCAGGAACAGGGCUGCAGGCGAGGAGGGGGCAGAGUGGGGAGAAGAAGCACAGGCGAGCCCCGAGCCAGGUCCACGAGGGGAGGCACAGCUCCCCCAGGUUUCUACACGGCCACCCGGUGUCGAAAGGGCUGGGGAACCAACGUCUACAGGGAUGGCUCCCAUGGGCAAGCCCCCAGCCUCAAGAGUGGGCUGCGAGGUGACAUGGACAGGGCUGCGAGCUGGUACGGGCUGCGUCCACCACUCUGCUGGGGUGGAGGAAGGUCGAUCAGGAUCUGGAAUUCUCACAGGUGAGGCACAGGCAUUGGGCGCAUAUCUGCCUGCUCCUGGAGAACGUGG
rnacentral:lncRNA from 1 species